AAGUCGUAACAAGGUUUCCGUAGGUGAACCUGCGGAAGGAUCAUUAACACGUAUCCAACGUUAAACCCCCCGUGCAUCUUUAGAGAGCUCUUGUAAGCCCAUUAUGAUAGCAAUCCUGGUAAAUCAGUGGCGAAAGUAGUCUUUGAUUCAGGACCUCUGUCUGGUGAGAACCUAGCGGUAAGCGAGCAAUUGAGCCUUUUAUCGUCAGUCUGGAGUCCUGGCCGGGCGAAUGAAAGUGUCGCUGGACGGUUUCUAGGGUAAGGCUUCGCCAUCACUGGAGGCUCAACACGGGCCGGUGGACAGACUGCAGGGUCCCCAUGCCCCUUUAUGACGACCAAGUUAAAUAAGGCCUCUACCAUAGAGGAAAACGUACAACUGUUAACAAUGGAUAUCUUGGUUCUC
rnacentral:misc_RNA from 1 species